AAAUUGAAGAGUUUGAUCAUGGCUCAGAUUGAACGCUGGCGGCAGGCCUAACACAUGCAAGUCGAACGGUAACAGGAAGCAGCUUGCUGUUUCGCUGACGAGUGGCGGACGGGUGAGUAAUGUCUGGGAAACUGCCUGAUGGAGGGGGAUAACUACUGGAAACGGUGGCUAAUACCGCAUAACGUCGCAAGACCAAAGAGGGGGACCUUCGGGCCUCUUGCCAUCAGAUGUGCCCAGAUGGGAUUAGCUAGUUGGUGAGGUAACGGCUCACCAAGGCGACGAUCCCUAGCUGGUCUGAGAGGAUGACCAGCCACACUGGAACUGAGACACGGUCCAGACUCCUACGGGAGGCAGCAGUGGGGAAUAUUGCACAAUGGGCGCAAGCCUGAUGCAGCCAUGCCGCGUGUAUGAAGAAGGCCUUCGGGUUGUAAAGUACUUUCAGCGGGGAGGAAGGUGUUGUGGUUAAUAACCGCAGCAAUUGACGUUACCCGCAGAAGAAGCACCGGCUAACUCCGUGCCAGCAGCCGCGGUAAUACGGAGGGUGCAAGCGUUAAUCGGAAUUACUGGGCGUAAAGCGCACGCAGGCGGUCUGUCAAGUCGGAUGUGAAAUCCCCGGGCUCAACCUGGGAACUGCAUUCGAAACUGGCAGGCUUGAGUCUUGUAGAGGGGGGUAGAAUUCCAGGUGUAGCGGUGAAAUGCGUAGAGAUCUGGAGGAAUACCGGUGGCGAAGGCGGCCCCCUGGACAAAGACUGACGCUCAGGUGCGAAAGCGUGGGGAGCAAACAGGAUUAGAUACCCUGGUAGUCCACGCCGUAAACGAUGUCUACUUGGAGGUUGUGCCCUUGAGGCGUGGCUUCCGGAGCUAACGCGUUAAGUAGACCGCCUGGGGAGUACGGCCGCAAGGUUAAAACUCAAAUGAAUUGACGGGGGCCCGCACAAGCGGUGGAGCAUGUGGUUUAAUUCGAUGCAACGCGAAGAACCUUACCUGGUCUUGACAUCCACGGAAGUUUUCAGAGAUGAGAAUGUGCCUUCGGGAACCGUGAGACAGGUGCUGCAUGGCUGUCGUCAGCUCGUGUUGUGAAAUGUUGGGUUAAGUCCCGCAACG
rnacentral:rRNA from 1 species